rnacentral:misc_RNA from 1 species
AACGCACAUUGCACCUUGAGGUAUUCCUCAAGGUAUGCCUGUUCGAGAAUCAGUUAAACCAUCAAAGCCUAGUAUUGUUAAAGUAAUAGGUUUUGGAAUUGGGAUUUGUUGGACUUUUUAGUUAAACAUUCCUUAAUAAUAAUUGUUGCCCAACACUUUACUUGUUAGUGUGGUAUGCAUGACCAAUGAGUUUCGGCUCUUCUGAUUGCUAUAUAACAUUAACUACUGUAAUUUGUUUAAAGUAACAUUAAAAACUUCAACACAAAGCACUUUGCUUUAAGACUUGAUCUCGAAUCAGACAAGACUACCCGCUGAACUUAA